rfam:Schistosoma rodhaini strain Burundi genome assembly, scaffold: SROB_scaffold0000078
GCACUUAUGAGGAGUUCAACAAUAGGACGAAACGGCCGUCCAGUGC